GACGAACGCUGGCGGCGUGCUUAACACAUGCAAGUCGAACGGAAAGGCCCCUUUGGGGGUACUCGAGUGGCGAACGGGUGAGUAACACGUGAGUAACCUGCCCUUGACUUCGGGAUAACUUCAGGAAACUGGGGCUAAUACCGGAUAGGAAUCCUUGCUGCAUGGUGGGGGUUGGAAAGCUUCGGCGGGUUUGGAUGGACUCGCGGCUUAUCAGCUUGUUGGUGGGGUAGUGGCUUACCAAGGCUUUGACGGGUAGCCGGCCUGAGAGGGCGACCGGCCACAUUGGGACUGAGAGACGGCCCAGACGCCUACGGGAGGCAGCAGUGGGGAAUAUUGCACAAUGGGCGGAAGCCUGAUGCAGCAACGCCGCGUGCGGGAUGACGGCCUUCGGGUUGUAAACCGCUUUCAGCAGGGGCGAAGCUUGUGGUGACGGUACCUGCAGAAGAAGCACCGGCUAACUACGUG
rnacentral:rRNA from 1 species